UGCCAGCCGCCGCGGUAAUACGAAGGGUGCUAGCGUUGUUCGGAAUCACUGGGCGUAAAGCGUGCGUAGGCGGUUUAGUAAGUCGAUUGUGAAAUCCCCGGGCUCAACCCGGGAACUGCAAUCGAUACUGCUUUGCUAGAGUUUAGUUGGGGAUAGUGGAAUUCCUAGUGUAGGGGUGAAAUCCGUAGAUAUUAGGAGGAAUACCGGUGGCGAAAGCGACUAUCUAAGCUAAUACUGACGCUGAGGUACGAAAGCGUGGGGAGCAAACAGGAUUAGAUA
rnacentral:rRNA from 1 species